rnacentral:lncRNA from 1 species
GAUCAGUGCCAAAACUGGCGUCAGCCUUUCUUAUCCGCAGCAAAACGUGGCCACCCCAUCCAUCGUUGUUUGAUCCAGCCUUUACACGCAUAUAUCAGCGAAGUAGGCAGUGACAAUGUCCACAGACAGUAGAGAGAGAAAGAGAGAGAGAGAGAGAGUGUGUGUGUCGCCAUGGACGAGCUGAAGCCCAGCCCUCCGAACUCAUCGCCGUUGACCCCGCUCGGCUUCCUCGAAAGAGCCGCCACCGUCUACGGCGACUGUCCCUCCGUCAUCUACAACGACACCACCUACACAUGGUCGCAGACCCACAGCCGGUGCCUCCGGGUGGCUUCGUCGCUCGCUUCCCGCGGCAUCGGCCGGGGCCACGUGGUCUCCGUCGUUGCCCCUANNNNNNNNNNNNNNNNNNNNNNNNNNNNNNNNNNNNNNNNNNNNNNNNNNNNNNNNNNNNNNNNNNNNNNNNNNNNNNNNNNNNNNNNNNNNNNNNNNNNUAAGAAAAGUAAAUAAAUGUAUUUUUUUUUUCAGAGAAGAGAUAUUGGCAAUGUAAAUAGAUGUUUAGCUAACUCAAGUAAAAGUUGACAAUGUAAGAUUUGUUAGUAAUUAAUUCGAAGAAAAACAGAUAAUUACUCUAACUGAGAUUGGUAAUUUAUUAAGAGAUUUUUUUUUUUUUUGUUAAAAUUUCUAAAGAGAAGUUGGGCGAUUUAAAAAUCGGUAAUUUACAAGACAAAUGAAAAAUUUCAGACAAAAGAAAAGUUGCUAAACUAAACAUAUAUGAACAUUGUAAAAGCAACUCAAAUGAAAAAUUGAACAAAAACUAGUCUAUGACUUAUAAUUGCUCAAAUCAAGGUUGGUAAUUUCAUAUGAUAUGUGGUAAGUUUAAGAUGUCAAAAAGAAAUAACUAAAAGUAGAAAAAAUAGGAGGGUUUUUUUUUUUUAAGGAUAAUAAACUUACUCUGAUAUAACACAAAAUUAGUUGCAAAUUUAAUAGAAAAAUGUAGAGUUAUCUACUCUAAUUAAAGAUGCUAGUUUCUAAAAAUAAGUUCAUCAAUUUAAAAAAUUUAUAAUUAGUGGCAAAUAAAAGUUACCAAACAAUAAGAGUAUUUGUAAAUUAAGAAAAAAAAAGCCGUAGAUAAGUGACUCAAAUGAGAGUUAAUAAUUCAAAAUCAGUUAAUUGGCUUAAUCUUGGAAAAAUUAGUCAGUAACUCAAGUGAAAAUUGCUAAUUGCAUAUGAUAGUUCAAAAAUUUAAGUUGUUGAUAAGAUAAAUAGAUGAAGUAGAAACCAAUAGAGACUUUUUCUGAGAGAUAUGAAAAUUGGUAAUUACAAAAAAAUAAAAGAAUAAACGUUAGUGUCUAGGUCAAAAGAGUUUGCAAAGCAAAAUUAGUUGAUGAUUUAUUAGGAAAGUUGGUAGUCGCACUACUUAAAGAGAAUAGUUUUUUGAAGAGUUGUUCAGUUUAAUUUAUCAGUAAGGCAAAUAAAAGAGGGUUUAAUGGAAAGUUGGCAAAUUUUGAAAAGAAGCCAAGUAAAUGUUGGUAAACAACGCAAAUGAGAAAGUUAGUAAACCUAAAUCAAUUGAUAACUCAACAAGAAAAAAACUAAUGUUUCAUAAGCUGAGAUUUCGCACGGUAUUCUAUGAGCUUCAAGACAAACGGGCCUCUACGCUUAUGUCCUAUGUUAUCGGGAACAAAGCCGGUGAACCGUUAAAUCACACCACUAAGAGUCGCUAAAUUCAUAUGAGAGUUAAUAAAUCUAAGACGUUUGGGAACAAGGCAAAUGAAAUCCAUAACAAAAGUUGAGUAAUAAAUAAAAAAUCAAAUAAACGUUGCUGAGUUGGCAACCCAAAAUUAGUCCUUAGUUUAAUUCUAACAAAGUUGACAAAUCAUUCAAAUAAAGAUAUGUGAAUUCAUAUAAGAGUUGAUAAAUUUGAAGCGCUACUCGAAAAGAAAAGAAAAGAAAAGAAAAGAAAAAAAUCAUUAAGAAUAUGUAUAAAAAAUUUUAUAAUUGGCAAACUAUUAGAGAAGUAGGUAGUUUCAUAGGAAUGUUAUUAUAAGUUAUCAACGAAGUACUGAGAAAGGAUGUGAUUGAUAAUUUCUUUUACUUAUAACUUUUUUGAUACUUACAUACUCUUUAAGCAAUCAAUCAACAAGACAAGACAAUUUUCGUUUUUUUUUUUUAAGGAACAGUAGAAUCGUUUAUCAUAGGACCAAACGGCAAGAUCGAAUAGGGUAUUUGGUGGGAAUGCAGAUAUUACAAUCAUUUUCAUGAUUUUCUUUUUCAUGGUGAACGAUGGUUAUCGUUUCAUGGAGAAGCGUUCCUUAUCAUGAAAUACUAAAUUUUCCAAUAUCCCUUUUUUUUUCUUUUCUAUAUAUUAUCUUUGCUUGAAUGAUAAAAGCUUUAGAGAUUUUGCGAAUCUUUAGAUUGAAACAAGCAAUCAAAAUCUUACGAUUAUUAUCCUAUUAACAUAUUCCAUUUGCAUACCUCUAAACAAAACUCGAUAUUUAAAAGACUAAAUGGCCUCUCAUUACAAACUUAUGUGAGCAAGUUGCUUAAGGUUUGGAUUGUGUUGUCUUUAGUUCAUUUGUGUUUUGGAUAGGUAUGAAUUAUUUAUUUAUUUAUUUGGAGUGAGCAAUUUUUGAAAAAAAGUGGCAUUUUCGUGGGACACGAUAAUAAUUUAUGUGAAUGCACAAAUUGAUUUCAAAGGUAAAAUUUAGGUAUGUUCUUAGUAUUUUCAAAAAUUAAAAAAAAAAUGUAAAAAGUCAUUGGGUGAAAUAUGAGGUAUAUUUUUAGUAUUCUCCCUUCUUUAUAAUUGAAAAGAAGAAGAAGAAGUGAUCACCCCCAGUCAACCAACCAUUCAAUUAAUUUUUGGAAGCUUCGGCUCUUGUUUUCAUUCAAGAUCUAAUUCACCAUAGUCAAUAAUGGAAAGUUUCUUGUUUUUUUUUUAAUCCGAAUCUUACGACUUGACUAAUUCCUAUGAAUACAUAUAAUCAUCUCAUUCACGUGUAACGAAUAGUAAAACUUCACCCACAGGUGGCAAGCACAAUUUUCAUAGUUACUAUGGAUGAAUAAUGCCGUGAUUGGAAUAUAGGAUUUGUCGGUUCCAAACCAAGCGCUUAACAAUUCAGUCGACCCCUUCAGGCUCGAAAAUGGGUAGUUUUAUUCAUUCUUAUACAACUCCUCCCCAAUACUCUCCCUUCCUUUGUUUCAUUGACCUUUGAAUAUGACCUUUUCUGUCUCGGCCUCCUCCAUAUUCGAAUGGGAGAUAUCGCCCUUCGUCACAGUGCCGGUUUAUGGCUCGGAUGGGUUGGGCCUGUGCCGAUAUAAUGGGCCUCGUGUCGAAGUUUUCGGGCCAAAUAUAUUGGAACCAGAAAUUUGGGCCAGGCUGAACCAUGAAAGUUCGGCCCGGACCCAACUGAUCUGGGCCUACUUGAUAGUAGCUUGAUUUUCAUUUUUUUAAGGACUCGUUGCUAAAAAAUCCUCCUGAAGUUUUCCAUCGUUGCAUAAGUUCCCUCAAACUUUGAAAAGUUAGAAAAUUACUUUUCUCAAUUUUUGCGUCGUUGCACGAUACCCUUGAACUUUGAAAAGCUAUAGAUGACCCCUGAAUUUUAAUUUUUCUUUUGUUGAAAUCAUUAAUUGUUCCAUUCACUUAGCUAUUAAAUAUUAUCCAAGAAUGGACAAACUCAUUUUUCUCGAUCAAAAUAAUAUCUACUAAAUUUUCUGAACAUCAAUCAUCCAUUCCAUUUAUUCAUCCAAAUUCAUUAACUAUCCAAUAGAGGUUACUUUGGUGAAAAAAAUUAAUAAGUCUAUAUUUAGGUAACAUUUAAGCACCACGCCACAAAAAAACUAGCACAAACAAUAAAAAUCAAAGCGAGAAAGUCUGCAACUUUUCAAAGUUCGGUGACUAUUGUGCAACAAUGCUAAAAUUAAGGGGGUUAAUCUAAUAAUUUUUCGAAAAAAACUCUGCUUAUUCAUUUUGUGAAAAAUCAAUGCUUAAAUAUACAGCUGUGAAAUGGCUUACAUGAUAAUGCUUUAAAGGGACUUAAUUACAUUCUCCAAUCUUUUCAGCAUCAAAAGGGACUUAAUUACAUUCUCCAAUCUUUCAGCAUCAAAAUCCCACUAUUUUGGACGUUCAGCCUCAUGACGAUGGCGAACUUGCCGACGGUCAUGGCACUGGCCCUCAUGUCCUCGCCGAUGCACCUCAUGUGGCCCGACUGCAAGUCGAAUCGGACCAAGCGAGACGGCUGGAACCCUAGCAGCAUCACGACGAGGACGACGUGGAGACGGCGACAGGCAUCGCGCGACGGGAACGCCAUCGUGCUGCUCGUGGAGCGACCGGAGAGGAGAAGAGUGAGCGGCCAAAGAAAGAAACGCUAGAGAAAGAGAGAUCCGCCGCCUGCGGAAUGGUGGUAUGGAGUUAGAGCAGAGGAGUUGAUGAGUGACAGCGCGAGGGGUCACCCCCCAGUCAAAAACGGACACGUGGCCGGCCGAGGUUCACGGGUGGGCUUGGACGUUUCGGAGAUUAUGACCUGACCCUUCUUUGGACUUCGAUUUAGUUGACAAGAAGUCGAUGAAUUGACAAAUAUCAGCACGGUAAUAACCAUCUGGCCAAAGGAAAAAAAGGGAAAGAAAUAAAAAGAAAAAAUAGAAACAUAAAAUAAUAAUUAAAAAAUUAAAAAAAUUAAAAAUUGAUAAAAUUUGUUAAUAUCAGUGUUGGCCGUGUCAUAUAGGACGGUCGAUAUCCAUGCCAAAUUCACCCGAUGAACUCAAUUAGCAAAAAGUGAAAAUUUAGGACUUGAUUAGUAAAGUUGAAAGAUUUAUGAAUAAAUUGAUGAAAGUAUAAUAGAUUUAGAACUUUUUAGAUAAUUUUACUGCUAACAAACAUGCCAUUUGUAAUCACCGCUUUUAGCAGCGCAAUUGGCUCGGGCUCUCUCCCCCUCACGAAAGGGAGGGGUCCUGCAGUCACUCCCCUAGGGUUUGCUCGCCGCCGUCGACUUAUGGGAUUCCCUGAUUACCAAAAGGAAAAAAGAAAAAAAAACAAACAAACAUGCCAUUUGUAGCUUCUCAACCAAGGUUGCAAAUGGACCGAGCAAAAAAAAGAACAAGGUUGCAAUGAAUCUGUCCAUUCCAUUCCUAUGCAAAUCUGGCCAUUCGUACAAAGACAAAGGUCUGAAGUUGUACUAAUGAUGGGUCUGAAGUUGUACUAAUGAUGGCCACAUGCUGUUGAAUAGAUACAAUGAAUGGUGAUUUCGUGAAUCACACGUAGCUAUCAUGAACUGUGAUUCUCCUGUAUUCGCAUAUUCUUGUGAGUGGAGCUUGGACUUAUCAGGGUAAAUAGUGAAUGAUGCAGAGAUGAUGAUAAAAUUGAUUUGUAAGAGUAACAUCAGGAUAGUUAGUAUUAAAAGCGGGAGCUAAUGUCACUUUUUUGAUGAGAUAAUGGUAAAUCGAAAUUAAUUAUUAUGUGUAAAGAGUCUUAUAUGUCUCACUUAAUGAAUUAAAUACCGGAAUUAAGCUAGACGGGACGUAAUUCGAUAGGAGAAUGUUAUUCGCCAUACUUUGAAAUGCUGACUUGGUGUUCUUUGCUUCUCUGGCGCAGGCCGUGACAUAAUGGUUGGCCCUCACAAACGACAGUCCAGUUCACGGUGCACGUCCUUAAGCGUCGAGUCUCCCAUCGCAUUCAGCCCCGAAUUUUUUCCGGCUACUCUUCUUCGUCGAGUUUCACGCGACGUGUCGUGACGGUGAUAAACACUCCUCCAUCCGCAUCGGCGGUGUCCUGGAAAAGAUGCGUCGCGACGUGGGAGUCUGGCUCUGCUCAUUAAUGCUCGACGUGAUUUUGGUGCCGACUUGGGACCUAAUAAUCAGGACGUGCGCUGGUAGCUGGAUCCGCUAAGUCCGUGAAUCACGCCCCCGGAAAAAUCAAACAUGAAAACGAGAGAAGUGGGAUUGAUGCAGAUCUUAGUGUCGGCGUUUCGUCGUGGCGGUGGUGUUGCGAAUCUUGCGAUGUGUUUUGUGCCGAUGGAUUUGACUGCAUGAUGUGCAGUAAUUCCCCAAUCUUUUUUUGGUAAAGUGUAAUUCCCCAAUCUCAUUCCUCUGAUGUCUCAAAAAGGAUUUAUGAGUCGGAACUUAUUAUUUUCUAGAGUGGAUACUCUUUACUUCUUGCUGGGUUUAAGAGAAAACGUGCCCAAUCUUCUCGAGCAAGGCCUUUUCCUUGCCAACUGCCAAGCACAAGGUCACAGUGCAUGCAAGCAUCGCGCCUCAUCCAUCGUCGACACGGCUAUUGUCACCACCUGACAACCACCGCCGUCUACGGAAUUCUUUGACUAUGCCAUCAGAGCUCGACCAAAUCUUCUGAGGUGUCGUCAAUACAGGCCAAGAAAAUCGUUCAUUGCACAUAGUCUAUUCCAGUAAAGUUCUCACCUGGACUCUGGGAGUUAAUGCCAAAUGAUGUUUAAAAGGCACAUCUCGUGAGUGAAUUGUAAUUUUGCAUAUUUAAUUUAGCAAUGCUCUCCUUCAGCCUAGUGUGUUAUUCAAUUCAUUCAUGCUCUGUCAUUUUAGAAGUCUACAAAUACUUGUGCCUUGUCUAGAGAGAAACGUGAUUGGCCGGCAUGACAAGAUGGUGGCGAGUACUCAAAAUCAGAUGAUGUGGUGAAUGAUCGCAUCAAGAGGUACAAAAACUGUCAAGUUAGUAUUUCAUUUUGGGUUUGCGUGAUCCUCUUACAUAAAAAAUAAUAAAUAUAAAUUUCACUUAUUAAUUUCUAUAACUUAAACUUUAUUUCAGGGUCAGGCACAAAUAACCUGAAUUUUUGGCCCUGCUUUUCAAUUUUUAUAUUGAUAUCCAUACCCCCACAUGGAGUGGGAUGUCAAAAGAAUCAUCUGCCUAGGUAAACAUAAAAGAUGAUGGGGAGGGACGACGAGUCAAUUAUUAAGGGACGUGCUGGAUCUUGCAAUCUUGGUUAAAGUAAUCAACUAAUCGUACAAACGACUUUCUAUACUUUCCCAAGAUGCCGACUCAAAGCCAACUCCGCUAUUGAUGCCGAUCUUGCACUGCCAGCCACGUGCGUAACUAAAUUAUAGUGAUCCAAUUGAAAGGAACUAUGUAAACAGGUUCUGACCCAAAAAAGAGAAGCAUAGAAACAGGCCACGGCCGCACGAGUGACUAUUUUAUUUUUCAUAAAUAAAAUUAUAAAGCCUGAAAAUUAUGCCAUUACUCUCACUAAAACAUGAUCCAAUCUGAUUUCGUAACAAUAAAAAAAGCAAACUUCUUCGUGGCCUAUUUAAUACACAAUUAUCAUAUGCAUUGUUGGGCUGGAUAACCCAAUUUGUUAGUUAAUAUGCAGUACAUUUUCUUCCUUAAAAUAUACUUGAGCAUACUUUCAUUUUGAGAAAUGAGCGUGUUAACAAAAUAAAACGACAAAAUUGAUUUCUGAAGUAGAGAACUGGCUACUUGCAAGUCCGCCUUUACAGUAAGUCUAGUAAUUCCCAAAUAAAUAAUGUCUUUUCUAUCGUGAGUGAAUAACAUGUUCCCACUAUUUGCACAAAUCCAGCGAGCCAAUUGGCUGAGUCAUCACAAAUAAGUCCACCUACUAAAGUCAGACCCAAGUUGCCUUAAAAGAAUCCAUCAAAAUGGAGUUUAACUCAACCAAAAGGAGGGGUUUCAACCCACAAACUUAUCUCUUCUCUCCCUUUCGACAUACAAUCUACUUUUUACUAAUCGAGCAGACAUGAUAUUAUUGACAUAUCGCAAGAUCAUAUUCACAGGCAUAACUAGAAAGAAGUCUUCUCCCUAAAACAAUUUUUAAUUCCUUCAAUUCCACAGACACUAGCAAGUUAUGCCAGAUAUUAGUGGCUAGUUAUAUUAUUAUUAUUUUUUAGUGAUAAAUACACUAAAAUUUCUAGAAAUUGUCACUAAAGUGUAAUUAGUUUCAAAACUUUCAAAAUGUAUAAUCAAGUCUUAAAACUUGUCACGAAAAUGCAAUUAUAUCCUAAGAAGCACCAGCACUCUUCAGAAGCUUUUGUCUCACGUCAGACACUACAACAUGUAUUUGACACGCUCCAACACGCAAGUUUAGAAUUCCAACAUGCACAAGGUCAAUUUUAAAAAUUUUCAAUAAAUCAAUGGUCUAAAUGUAAAUAUAUAAAAAAAAUACAAAUAAUAAAGGGGGAAAGAAAGACUUCUUGUUAAUUAUAUUUGAUUGUGAAAUGUGAAUUUUUUUGGACUUGUUGUUAAAUGUUAAAUUUACUGGCGGAAUAUGGAUUGCAUGUUUUUUUCUCUCUCCAAGUUUUAUGGAUUAUUGGAAUGGAAUGUAGUUAAAUUUGUCAAAUUGAAAUAAUGAAUGAUAUCAAGUGAAUUAAUUUUUUUGUAUAAACUCAUUAUAGGCUCUUUAUUUAUUUAUUUAUUUGUGAAUUUGAAUCAAAUUAAUUUGAUAUUACAAAAAUGAUAAUUUAUCAUGCAUAUAUAAAAAUAUACAUUUAAUUUUUUACAAAAAUGAUAAUUUAGCAUGCAUAAUAUACAUUUAAUUUUUUUAUACAACAUGUCGGAAUUCUUUGUUUUUUGAGAAAUAAUAUGUUGGGUUAAUACCCUAAAAAACCCCAAACUGGUAUACUUGUGACAAAUUUACCCCAAACUAUUUUUUUGAUCACCAAAAACCCGAAACUGGUAUACUUUUGACAAAUUUAUCCCAAACUGGUACACUUGUAACAAAUUUACCCUCCGUUAGUUUUCGUUAAAUUUUACUAUCAAAUUAUUAAGUUAAAUGACAUGUGACAGUUCACUAGUAUAUCGAUUUGAGAAUGCUCCGUUUGUCAUAUUUUACAAUUUUAUGAUUUUUUGUGGUAUUAAUCUAAUUUAGCGGAGGGUAUAUUUGUCACAAAUUUACAAUUUUGGGGUUUUUUGUGGUUGAAUAAAUUAGUUUUAGGUAAAUUUUUCAUAAAUGUAUCGGUUUAAGAUUUUUUAUUGUCAGUCGGGGUAAAUUUGUCACGGGUGUACCAGUUUAGGAUUUUUCAGGGUCAAAAAGAUAGUUGGGAGUAAAUUUGUCACAGCUGUACCAGUUUGGGGUUUUUCAAGGUAUUAACCCUAAUAUGUUAUUGUAUUGUGUCAUAUUGUGUUCCGUAUUGGUGUCAAUGUUAUUUAUAUUGUUUACUAAAGCUUUCAAAAAAGUAUAAUUAACGAAAAGAUUUGAUCGAAUAUUUUGACGUAUUUUAAAUUUUGAUUUUACUUUUUAAAAGUAUUGAGACUCAUUACACUUUGAUGGUGAGUUUUAUAAUUUAAUUAUAUUUUUUAAAAAAAUUAAAAUUUAAUUAUAUUUGUUGACUUCAGAUACCCCCACCUCGUUUUUAACGUUUUCCGAUCAGUGCCAAAACUGCGUCAGCCUUUCUUAUCCGCAGCAAAACGUGGCCACCCCAUCCAUCGUUGUUUGAUCCAGCCUUUACACGCAUAUAUCAGCGAAGUAGGCAGUGACAAUGUCCACAGACAGUAGAGAGAGAAAGAGAGAGAGAGAGAGAGAGUGUGUGUGUCGCCAUGGACGAGCUGAAGCCCAGCCCUCCGAACUCAUCGCCGUUGACCCCGCUCGGCUUCCUCGAAAGAGCCGCCACCGUCUACGGCAACUGUCCCUCCGUCAUCUACAACGACACCACCUACACAUGGUCGCAGACCCACAGCCGGUGCCUCCGGGUGGCUUCGUCGCUCGCUUCCCGCGGCAUCGGCCGGGGCCACGUGGUCUCCGUCGUUGCCCCUAACGUGCC